UGAGGAAUAUUGGUCAAUGGCCGGGAGGCUGAACCAGCCAAGUCGCGUGAGGGAAGACGGUCCUACGGAUUGUAAACCUCUUUUGUCGGGGAGCAAAGGCGGCUACGUGUAUCUGAGCGAGAGUACCUGAAGAAAAAGCAUCGGCUAACUCCGUGCCAGCAGCCGCGGUAAUACGGAGGAUGCGAGCGUUAUCCGGAUUUAUUGGGUUUAAAGGGUGCGUAGGCGGGCUGCCAAGUCAGCGGUAAAAUUGCGGGGCUCAACCCCGUCGAGCCGUUGAAACUGGCGGUCUUGAGUGGGCGAGAAGUAUGCGGAAUGCGUGGUGUAGCGGUGAAAUGCAUAGAUAUCACGCAGAACUCCGAUUGCGAAGGCAGCAUACCGGCGCCCAACUGACGCUGAAGCACGAAAGCGUGGGUAUCGAACAGGAUUAGAUACCCUGGUAGUCCACGCAGUAAACGAUGAAUGCUAGCUGUCCGGGCCGAGUGAGGCCUGGGUGGCACAGCGAAAGCGUUAAGCAUUCCACCUGGGGAGUACGCCGGCAACGGUGAAACUCAAAGGAAUUGACGGGGGCCCGCACAAGCGGAGGAACAUGUGGUUUAAUUCGAUGAUACGCGAGGAACCUUACCCGGGCUCAAACGCAGUGUGAAUGUUUGGAGAAAUCCUUCAGUCAGCAAUGACACACUGCGAGGUGCUGCAUGGUUGUCGUCAGCUCGUGCCGUGAGGUGUCGGCUUAAGUGCCAUAACGAGCGCAACCCCUAUCGACAGUUGCUAACGGGUUAAGCCGAGGACUCUGUCGAGACUGCCGGCGCAAGCUGUGAGGAAGGCGGGGAUGACGUCAAAUCAGCACGGCCCUUACGUCCGGGGCGACACACGUGUUACAAUGGCAGGUACAGCGGGAAGCCAUCUGGCGACAGAGAGCAGAACCCGAAAACCUGUCUCAGUUCGGAUUGGAGUCUGCAACCCGACUCCAUGAAGCUGGAUUCGCUAGUAAUCGCGCAUCAGCCAUGGCGCGGUGAAUACGUUCCC
rnacentral:rRNA from 1 species